ACUCAAAUGAAUUGACGGGGCCCCGCACAAGCAGUGGAGCGUGUGGUUUAAUUCGACGCAACGCGCAGAACCUUACCAGGGCUUGACAUCCCCUGACAGCUGCGGAAACGCGGUCUCCGGGCUUCGGCCCGGCAGGGAGACAGGUGCUGCAUGGUUGUCGUCAGCUCGUGUCGUGAGAUGUUGGGUUAAGUCCCGCAACGAGCGCAACCCCUAUCCUGUGUUGCCAUCGGGUAAAGCCGGGCACUCACAGGAGACUGCCGGAGACAAUUCGGAGGAAGGUGGGGAUGACGUCAAAUCCUCAUGGCCCUUAUGUCCUGGGCUACACACGCGCUACAAUGGCCUGAACAAUGGGCAGCAACACCGCGAGGUGAAGCCAAUCCCCUAAAUCAGGUCUCAGUUCGGAUCGCAGGCUGCAACUCGUCUGCGUGAAGCCGGAAUUGCUAGUAAUCGCGGAUCAGCUACGCCGCGGUGAAUACGUUCCCGGGGCUUGUACACACCGCCCGU
rnacentral:rRNA from 1 species